rnacentral:rRNA from 1 species
GAUGAACGCUGGCGGCGUGCCUAAUACAUGCAAGUCGAGCGAACAGAUAAGGAGCUUGCUCCUUUGACGUUAGCGGCGGACGGGUGAGUAACACGUGGGUAACCUACCUAUAAGACUGGGAUAACUUCGGGAAACCGGAGCUAAUACCGGAUAACAUUUGGAACCGCAUGGUUCUAAAGUGAAAGAUGGUUUUGCUAUCACUUAUAGAUGGACCCGCGCCGUAUUAGCUAGUUGGUAAGGUAACGGCUUACCAAGGCAACGAUACGUAGCCGACCUGAGAGGAGGGUCGGCCACACUGGAACGGAAACGCGGUCCAGACUCCUACGGGAGGCAGCAGUAGGGAAUCUUCCGCAAUGGGCGAGAGCCUGGCGGAACAACGCCGCGUGAGUGAUAAAGGGUUUCGGCUCGUAAAACUCUGUUAUUAGGGAAGAACAAAUGUGUAAGUAACUGUGCACGUCUUGACGGUACCUAAUCAGAAAGCCACGGCUAACUACGUG